UACCUUAGUACAGGGGAAUAACCUUUCGAAAGGGAGACUAACACCCCAUGGUAUUGAUUUAAGGCAAUCUUAAGAUUAAUUAAAUAUUUAUAGGUAUAAGAUGGGCAUGCGUAUGAUUAGCUAGUUGGUAAGGUAACGGCUUACCAAGGCGACGAUCAUUAGGGGUUCUGAGAGGAAGGUCCCCCACACUGGUACUGAGACACGGACCAGACUCCUACGGGAGGCAGCAGUGAGGAAUAUUGGUCAAUGGGCGCAAGCCUGAACCAGCCAUGCCGCGUGCAGGGAAAAGACGGCCUUAUGGGUUGUAAACUGCUUUUACAUAAGACUAACCGUAUAUUUGCGAAUAUACCUGAAUGUAUUAUGAGAAUAAGGAUCGGCUAACUCCGUGCCAGCAGCCGC
rnacentral:rRNA from 1 species